rnacentral:lncRNA from 1 species
UGCCAGAGAAGCUAGAGUCGAGGGGAUCAUGGCCACCGUCGGGACCUGCAAGGAAAGUCUAAACUAGAGUUGGGGGUGCUCCGGCAAGACCCUCCGACGCUCAAGUCAAUACUCUGCUUCAAUAGAAAUGGAGCACUCGAAUGGGAUUUUAGUAAAGUUUAGAGAUAAUGCUUCCAGCUCCCCCGAGAACAUAUCUGGGGGG